CCUACGGGAGGCAGCAGUGAGGAAUAUUGGUCAAUGGCCGGAAGGCUGAACCAGCCAAGCCGCGUGAGGGAUGAAGGCGCAGAGCGUUGUAGACCUCUUUUGUCGGGGGAUAAAAUGCCGGACUCGUCCGGUCCUGUGGGUACCCGGUGAAAAAGGAUCGGCUAACUCCGUGCCAGCAGCCGCGGUAAUACGGAGGAUCCGAGCGUUAUCCGGAUUUAUUGGGUUUAAAGGGAGCGUAGGCGGUUUGGUAAGUCAGAAGUGAAAGCCUGCGGCUUAACCGCGGAAUGGCCUUUGAAACUGUGAGACUGGAGUACUGGAGAGGUAAGCGGAAUGCGUGGUGUAGCGGUGAAAUGCGUAGAUAUCACGAAGAACACC
rnacentral:rRNA from 1 species